UUGGACCUGAUAUCAGGCUGAG
rnacentral:rRNA from 1 species